GACGGGACCGCACAAGCAGCGGAGCAUGUGGUUAAUUCGAAGCAACGCGAAGAACCUUACCUGGUCUUGACAUCCCGGAGACCCUUAGGAAACUAGGGGGUGCUUCCAUCUGGAAGAAUCUGGAGACAGGUGCUGCAUGGCUGUCGUCAGCUCGUGUCGUGAGAUGUUGGGUUAAGUCCCGCAACGAGCGCAACCCUUGCCUUUAGUUGCCAGCAGUUCGGCUGGGCACUCUAAAGGGACUGCCGGUGUUAAACCGGAGGAAGGUGGGGAUGACGUCAAGUCCUCAUGGCCUUUAUGACCAGGGCUACACACGUACUACAAUGGCCGAUACAAAGGGCAGCGACACUGCGAGGUGAAGCCAAUCCCGUAAAAUCGGUCUCAGUCCGGAUUGGAGUCUGCAACUCGACUCCAUGAAGUUGGAAUCGCUAGUAAUCGUGGAUCAGCAUGCCACGGUGAAUACGUUCCCGGGCCUU
rnacentral:rRNA from 1 species